GGAUCACACUGAUAUGGAAAUAUAAAUUCUAUUUCCAUAUAACUUUCUUGCUUCAGUGAAAGGGGGAACAGUUAUACCCAAGGGGAGAAGGUGUACAACUCUUCUACACCCUGUGACAAUCUGGACAUGAAGAGCGAAGAAAAGAAUGCUUCCAGUCUCUCUUUGUCUGUCUCCCCCUUCCCCAGGUGGUACAACGCCAGCUUUCAACAGGCUGACCAGCCAGAAGAAUCAGAGCCAUUUCUAAAACCUGAACUAUGUGUUCAUUUGGUGAAGUCUGACAGCAUAUAUGACAUCUCAGAAGAAGCAGGUGAAACUAAAGAUGGUUCCUUUGCGGGAACCCUAAUUAGACCCUUCUCCACUCGAUCCUCAGUUUCAUCCUAAAGGCCACUCCUCUCCUGAAAACCCCAAGACCCCAGGAGACACACGGUCACAUUCAUCACGACCACCCGCACUUCAAGAAACUCAUCUAUAAAUAAUGAAAUAUGAACUCUGAAGAAACAUAAAGAACUAAGAUAGGUUUAUAGUUUUCAGAUUUCUGUGGGAUGAAGCUGAAUUAUGCACAUCCAUUAAAGAGUUCGAAUGAUUCACAGCCAAUUUUAUUUUUAUAAUUGUAAUGAAACAGCUGGGAUUAGAGUCUAUUCAUGGACUCAUAAGAAAGUUGCACCCCACCUACUAAAAUUAGUUUCUGCACCCAAAAUUCUGAUUGAACAUCUGACUGGGAACACAGCAGGCACCAUUACUCAAUGCCAAGAAACUGAGGAAAUAGACUUCAAGCAUGUCACGUUCUCACCAGAAUGACUUCAUUUCUCAUUGUGCAUUCCUCCCUUUAUCUUCAUUCAUAAGCAGCCCCCCUAAUAAUAUGAUCCUUUGCAACAAGUCUUUUCCAAAGAACGAGCUUUCUUGGGUGAGACAGGGCCAAAGAAUAUAAUUUUUGAAGAUUUCAGACUGUAUGUGUGACAGUUAUUUAUAACCCAUGGAUUCUUAGCCAUCAAUGAAAGUCACAUUUAAGAACCUGUUCUUCAAAUGUAUGCUACCUCUUUGGACACCAAUAUCACUGAAUUUAAAAUACAGGAUUUUGGUCUUAAAGCUGCCUUGGGUAUCAAUUCACACAUCUGAAUGUUUAAGGUUUUACAGGAAACUCAGUUGGCUCCAGAAUUUGCAAUUUUAAAGAGAUCUGAGCAAGAGCACACUCUGUCUAUAAUUUUCCAAUGCAGGAAAUGGUGCAUAAGGAUUGAGUGACUCACCUAGGAUCACACAGCUAGUUAGUCACAAAGCGAGUCUAGAACACAAAGCCUUCUUUCCUCCAAUCCAGUGAACUUUCCACUGUGUCACAAGGGAAGAGUCAAAAGAAAACAUAAAACCUAAUUUUACCCGAAAAAAAAAAAUCCAGUCAUGUCUGAACCACAGCUGGAGUAAGGUGGAGCAUACCCACUUCCAAACCCAACUCCAACCUCAAAGCGCUGGGCACAGAACCAAAAAGUAACCAGACUGAAUAUUCAAAUCCCAUAUGAACUUGAGGCAAGCUCUGAAAUAAAUAAAUAAAUAAACAAACAAACAAAUAAGAAAAAAAUCAUCCUAUAUCCACACGGCAUAAAGUUAUUAGAGGCAUACUAAGGUAGGCCCUAGACAGUGCAUUCAAAAAAAUUCACAUUCCAAAAUCUUAACUGUCUGUGAAUUAGCUUUAUAAUUCACACAAAGUAGAUAGAAAUUAUCAAGAAAAUUAUCAAGAAAAUUAUCAAGAAAAUUCAGGGUUGUAAACUGGAUAUCAGGAAGAAUAAAUCAUAAAUACGCCUGUCUCCUAAUAUAUAACCCAAAUUGCUGUCAAUUACAACGUGAUUUGCAAAACAGCUAUACUAAAAAAAAUAAGUACUAGAUUAAAAGUUCUGCUCAUUUCUGAGUGUAUUAAGGAAGAAAUUUCAAAAGUCCCACACUGAGUCUGCUUUUACUUUAAAAAAGCAAAUGAUUACUUUCAAGUAAAGUAUCUUUCCUCACAGGAAAAGAUGGGAUAAUGUUCCUUUCAGACUCUCUAAGUGUUAAAUCCUCAUCUGAGACCAUCUGGAAUUACAAGUAGCCAGCAUUCAAGUAGUAACUCAAGAAUUGGGUCAUAAGUUAAAACUAAAAUUCCAGUCAUAAUGCAAAUUGUUCCUAUGUCAAACCAGUUGUAACUUGUGGGUCACUAUAUGUAAACCGUAUUUAAUUUGCCUAGUUACAGCCUAUAUAAAUGAUAUCACACAUAUUAUCAUAAGUGUAUGGUUAAGAAUGACCUAAGCCUCAGUAUUUUUAGCAUGCAGGAAGCAUAAAUGCAGUGUUAUUUGAGAAAAUAUUCUUGCUUCUGGCUUUCAAUGCUUCACUAAAAAACAAUGAA
rnacentral:lncRNA from 1 species